rnacentral:rRNA from 1 species
AUUGAACGCUGGCGGCAUGCCUUACACAUGCAAGUCGAACGGCAGCGCGGGGCAACCUGGCGGCGAGUGGCGAACGGGUGAGUAACAUAUCGGAACAUACCCUAGAGUGGGGGAUAACGUAGCGAAAGUUACGCUAAUACCGCAUACGCACUAAGGUGGAAAGUGGGGGAUCUUCGGACCUCAUGCUCAUGGAGUGGCCGAUAUCUGAUUAGCUAGUUGGUGAGGUAAAGGCUCACCAAGGCGACGAUCAGUAGCUGGUUUGAGAGAACGACCAGCCACACUGGAACUGAGACACGGUCCAGACUCCUACGGGAGGCAGCAGUGGGGAAUAUUGGACAAUGGGGGCAACCCUGAUCCAGCCAUGCCGCGUGUGUGAAGAAGGCC